GCCUGGCUGGCUCAGUCGGGAGAGCGUCAGACUCUUGAUCUCGGGGUAGUGAGUUCGAGGCCCACGUUGGGCG
rnacentral:tRNA from 1 species